AUGGUGCGUGUUUUAUGCUGUGCAUUGUUUCUUUUAUAUAUGCUACAUCUUGUGUGGCAUAUUCAUACGUAUUGUGUAAAUUUGUACAUGAAGAAGACUGGUCCGGUGCUGCUGGCACUGCAGCAGGCGGUGGCUCUGCCCUACUGCCAGCUCAGGACCAUUUUCCCAGGCUGCAGAAGGAGAUGGGCGAUGCAAUUUUCUGCCUUGGUCCCCCGGCUGCAUGCAGCUUCCAAUUUUCUGAAUUUCAUCAGUGGGUUAAAACAAAACCCGCGAGAGGAUUUCGGCUCUCCUCUGCGUCAGGCAGUGCCGGAGUGGAGAGACACAGUGGUUGGUUUUUUGUGUUUGUUUGUUUGUUUUUUCCCCAGGUGGGCAAGCAAAAGCGUAAACGGGAUUGCCCGAGACCAGAAAGCAGCCGGGUCCCGGCAGGAGCAGCUUUUUGCUCCCCCCAGACCCACCCAGCCGGCAGCCUGCCUGCCCGGGCUGGAAGAAAUAGAAAUUUUUGUUCUCCCCCCUCCCGCCCACCAAACCUGUUGCCCAAGGCAAGUGCCCACCGCAGCGCCUGCAUUCCCUGUACACCAGCGGCUCCGCGUUUACAUCCUUGGGCAAGGAGAAAAGCGGGGGGGGGGUCCUCGGAUUUCUGGUGAUUUCGUGAUUUUUUACGAGGGGCUGCGGGUUUGCAGCCGACCCCCUUCCCUACAAAAACGUUCGCUUAGCGCUCAUCGCCCUGCCCCCAAACCCUUCCCCCGGCGGGGGGACACGGGAGCGGGGGGCCGGGGGGGCACCACCGGGGCUCGGUGCGGGGCUGGCAGCGGCACCUCCUCGGGGAGCCCCGGGGAGCGGGGGGGCGCCGGGAGAGGAGGAGGAGGAGGAAGAGGAGGAGGAGGAAGAUGCGCGUUUCGGUGCCCGGCCACCCCGCAGCGCCCCCGGCCGCCCCCGCUGCGUGUCCGCACCCACCCUUCGGGGAUCCCUGCAGCCGCUGCGGGUCGCUCGGAGCUACAAACACACGUGCAAGUAUCGCUAUACAUAGGAAUUUAG
rnacentral:lncRNA from 1 species